GUUGAGUGCAAGGCUGCGCUGCAAGCAGAACUCGGUCCUUUGUUGAGAGCAUUAUUUCAGUAUCGAAUGAGAUUUACUUAUUAAAGCAAUAAUACCAGCAAAUAGCUGAGAAAAUAUUUGUCCAAACCAUUUAAUGGGGAAAUAGAUCGAUUACUUUCAAACGGGAGCCCUUUAUCCAGAGCCAGGGCAUGUGUCACAUUCACAACGAGUUUAUGAGAAUCGAUCAACCCAGAGCUCAAAUGCAUUUCCAGUUCGCCCCUCGGCUUCAUCAGGAGGUUGAGUGUAAGGCUGCAUAGCAGAACUCGAUCACGUGUUGUGAGCUCUACUUCAGUGUUGAUCAAUUUCUUGAGAUGUCCCCUUUUCAACAGUGAGGUUUUAUUUUUGUAUCCAAUACUCUUAGGAUUUUUAUGCUAGUACACUUUGAGCACACACUUUUGUAGGGACUUACCCCGGAGUUGCGCCGGUUCUCGGUUCCGGUAUAGGAGUGUGAUCCUAGCACCACCCCUUAUUUGCUUUCUACGCAAAAAAUUAAGUAUACUAUCUCCCUUUACAUUUUCUUGUUCUUCACAUUUAGGGUAAUGUUUAUAAUAGCUUUGAGGUGUGGG